rnacentral:rRNA from 1 species
CUUGCCUACGGGACGCAGCAGUCGGGAAUAUUGCGCAAUGGAGGAAACUCUGACGCAGUGACGCCGCGUGCAGGAAGAAGGUUUUCGGAUUGUAAACUGCUUUAGACAGGGAAGAUAAUGACAGUACCUGUAGAAUAAGCCCCGGCUAACUACGUGCCAGCAGCCGCGGUAAUACGUAGGGGGCAAGCGUUAUCCGGAUUUACUGGGUGUAAAGGGAGCGUAGACGGCAUAGCAAGUCUGAAGUGAAAGCCCGUGGCUCAACCGCGGAACUGCUUUGGAAACUGUUAAGCUGGAGUACUGGAGAG